UCCGGCGACCGGCGCACGGGUGAGUAACACGUAUGCAACCUGCCCUCUUCAGGGGGACGAACCUUCCGAAAGGGAGGCUAAUCCCGCGUAUAUCGGUUUCGGGCAUCCGAGAUCGAGGAAAGAUUCAUCGGAAGAGGAUGGGCAUGCGGCGCAUUAGCUAGACGGCGGGGUAACGGCCCACCGUGGCGGCGAUGCGUAGGGGUUCUGAGAGGAAGGUCCCCCACACUGGUACUGAGACACGGACCAGACUCCUACGGAAGGCAGCAG
rnacentral:rRNA from 1 species